UCCCCGAGACGCAGGCUCGUCUGUGUCGCCGCCCGCGGACGUGGACGCGAGCGCUGCGCGGACCACCCGCUUCGGGGCUCCGGGCGCUGGUGCGUCUUUACGGCCGGCGGUGGUUUUCUGUCCCCCUCCGGAGUCCUGUUUUCAUCGAGGCCUUCGUGGCGGUGGUCAUGACCUUGCACGCCUGUGCCGGGAGGGUUUGUCCCGGAGGACGUACGGUGACGGGGUCUCAGGACUUAGAAAACGGAGGAAAGUGUGAUUUCCUCGGCUCAGAGAACGUUGAGAAGUGAGCGCGUCCUUCGAGCGGACAUGGGCUGCCGGUCGCGUAGUGCGGGUCUCCAGGUGCUUUUAAGACCCCUCCAGCUCACAGUGCCGUGGGGAAGAGGGGAACACCCCUGCGAUACCGCGCGGAUGCCCGGAGCCGGGGGUGGGGGCACCUCCCGGUGAGGCGGAGAGCUGAGCGGAAACGGGCGGCCGGAGGCAGCCGAGGGAAGGUGGGUGUGCUGUGGCCGGGGCAGAGAGGAUGAGCAGGUGACAGCUGCGAUACCCCAGGGAACUUGGACUUGAAAAGGGCGUCUUUACCUUCAAAUCAUUGACUUGACCAUAGCGAUUCACUCUGAGUAAAUAUGUUCUUAGUUUGGAGUUGAUCUCUGUUAACAGUGAUGUGUUAUGCCUUAUCACCAGCCUUAUUAAGCCCCUGCUACUGUUGUGGUGAACUGCUUUGCCCAGGAAUGAUUCAGUCCAACCCUUUUGGGCUGCAGAAGAACAGAAGGGAUGUCAAAUAGUUAAAGCAUCUAGCCUGCACAGAAGUGGUGCUUCUGACAGUUCUUCGGACAAAACUCCUGGCAGUUCUGUUAGGAGGAUUCCCUUGGGCCUCGGGAGUCCGGCUCCAGGCCGGCUCUCCGCCGCCAGUAGCUGCGGCCCGAGACGCACAGCAAGGAGCAGAUCCUGGGGCUGCUGGUGCUGGAGCAGCUCCUGACCGUCCUGCCCGCCGAGCUCCAGGCCUGGGUGCGGGGCAGCAUCCAGUGUAUGGGGCGGAGGCUGUUACUGGACUGGGGGCUUGUUGAGGAAGCUGGACCAUCCAGGAGGAAGGUGAUUUGGUCAAAAUGGAAAAUGAGAAGGUGUUUCCAAAGUAGAAGAAAUCUGAAGAAAUAACAUGCCAACAGGGACACACUGCUAGAUUUGAUGGCAAUAUUCUUAAGUGCCUGAAUUAUGUAGAAGUCCCAAAAUACCAGAGAACCCUAGAAAUAGAUCUAUGAUUGCAUAAGUGAUGAAUGUGGAAUGAGUUUCAGAGCUCCAUCCUUAUCCAGCAUCUGAGAUACACAGGAGAAAUGCCAUGAAAAUGAGAAAUGUGGAAAAGCUUUUAGUCCAAGAGUGCUGGCUUCAUUGAAGAUAAGAGAAUUCCCACUGAAUUAGACCCACAAAUAUGGA